rnacentral:rRNA from 1 species
GUGCUUGCACUUGGGGAUCAGUGGCGAACGGGUGAGUAACACGUGAGCAACCUGCCCCUGACUCUGGGAUAAGCGCUGGAAACGGCGUCUAAUACUGGAUACGAGCCACGACCGCAUGGUCAGUGGUUGGAAAGAUUUUUUGGUUGGGGAUGGGCUCGCGGCCUAUCAGCUUGUUGGUGAGGUAAUGGCUCACCAAGGCGUCGACGGGUAGCCGGCCUGAGAGGGUGACCGGCCACACUGGGACUGAGACACGGCCCAGACUCCUACGGGAGGCAGCAGUGGGGAAUAUUGCACAAUGGGCGCAAGCCUGAUGCAGCAACGCCGCGUGAGGGAUGACGGCCUUCGGGUUGUAAACCUCUUUUAGCAGGGAAGAAGCGAAAGUGACGGUACCUGCAGAAAAAGCGCCGGCUAACUACGUGCCAGCAGCCGCGGUAAUACGUAGGGCGCAAGCGUUAUCCGGAAUUAUUGGGCGUAAAGAGCUCGUAGGCGGUUUGUCGCGUCUGCUGUGAAAUCCCGAGGCUCAACCUCGGGCCUGCAGUGGGUACGGGCAGACUAGAGUGCGGUAGGGGAGAUUGGAAUUCCUGGUGUAGCGGUGGAAUGCGCAGAUAUCAGGAGGAACACCGAUGGCGAAGGCAGAUCUCUGGGCCGUAACUGACGCUGAGGAGCGAAAGGGUGGGGAGCAAACAGGCUUAGAUACCCUGGUAGUCCACCCCGUAAACGUUGGGAACUAGUUGUGGGGUCCAUUCCACGGAUUCCGUGACGCAGCUAACGCAUUAAGUUCCCCGCCUGGGGAGUACGGCCGCAAGGCUAAAACUCAAAGGAAUUGACGGGGACCCGCACAAGCGGCGGAGCAUGCGGAU